GAAGUGUUAUACAUAUGAUUUCUGUUAUGAUGUUGGUUCAAUCAAAGGCAUAUAAAAUUUUCUUUUUAAUUCUGUUAUCAAGUCAUUAACUUCAUCACUAUGGUCCAUUUAUCACAUUCAAGUAUUUUAGUGCUCUGAUAUAUUUUUUUUCUUUUUCCAAUUGGUACAAAUAAGUAGAUAUUUCUGGAGGGUUUUCUUUUUGUGUGGUUUAAUUUCAUGAUCUUAACAGCAGUUUUUAUCUCUGCUAAUGAUUUUGUGACAAGAGGUUAUAGGCCUGGUUUAAAGCUGGUCAUGCAUUUAUAGCCAUGGUGUUGCAAGAAUGCUGUUGCGUUUGUUGAAGAGAAGAGAUACGGAGAUGGGUGGAAGGUAGUAGGGAUUCAAUGUCGGGAAAUUCUAUCAUUUAGGAGAAUCAUAUUUGGGAACUUUUGAAGCCAGCAGUGUGGUCACAUAAUGGAGAUAAACAGAUGUGGUUGGUAUGAGAAAUAGAUCUAGAGUUAUGACGUUUGUUUUCGGGGAAGAGAACAAUUCUGUGAAUUCCAUCUAGAGAUUACUUGUCCAUAGAGUGGGAUGUCGUGCUGCACAGUAUAUUGUAUUGGGUUCAUUUGGUGAAGCUGAUUAUGAAAUUAUAUGUAUAAUCUCGUGAAACUGAUAAAUAAGCUUCUUUGCUUGGUGAAGUAUGUACACUGUAAUCUGGGUCUCAAAUUCUGGUUGUACGAGGAGAAGUAUUUUCGA